UGGGGAAUUUUGGACAAUGGGGGAAACCCUGAUCCAGCCAUCCCGCGUGUGCGAUGAAGGCCUUCGGGUUGUAAAGCACUUUUGGCAGGAAAGAAACGUCAUGGGUUAAUACCCCGUGAAACUGACGGUACCUGCAGAAUAAGCACCGGCUAACUACGUGCCAGCAGCCGCGGUAAUACGUAGGGUGCAAGCGUUAAUCGGAAUUACUGGGCGUAAAGCGUGCGCAGGCGGUUCGGAAAGAAAGAUGUGAAAUCCCAGAGCUCAACUUUGGAACUGCAUUUUUAACUACCCGGCUAGAGUGUGUCAGAGGGAGGUGGAAUUCCGCGUGUAGCAGUGAAAUGCGUAGAUAUGCGGAGGAACACCGAUGGCGAAGGCAGCCUCCUGGGAUAACACUGACGCUCAUGCACGAAAGCGUGGGGAGCAAACAGG
rnacentral:rRNA from 1 species